rnacentral:rRNA from 1 species
UACGUAGGUGGCGAGCGUUGUUCGGAUUUACUGGGCGUAAAGGGCGCGUAGGCGGCCUCUGCAAGUCGACUGUGAAAUCUCCGGGCUUAACCCGGAAAGGUCAGCCGAUACUGCAGGGCUAGAGUGCAGAAGGGGCAACUGGAAUUCUCGGUGUAGCGGUGAAAUGCGUAGAUAUCGAGAGGAACACCUGCGGCGAAGGCGGGUUGCUGGGCUGAUACUGACGCUGAGGCGCGAAAGCUAGGGGAGCGAACGGG